rnacentral:rRNA from 1 species
GGCUUUGCCUACCAUCUCUUACCCAUGUCUUUUGAGUACCUUCGUUUCCUCGGCGGGUUCGCCCGCCGAUUGGACAAUUUAAACCAUUUGCAGUUGCAAUCAGCGUCUGAAAAAACAUAAUAGUUACAACUUUCAACAACGGAUCUCUUGGUUCUGGCAUCGAUGAAGAACGCAGCGAAAUGCGAUAAGUAGUGUGAAUUGCAGAAUUCAGUGAAUCAUCGAAUCUUUGAACGCACAUUGCGCCCCUUGGUAUUCCAUGGGGCAUGCCUGUUCGAGCGUCAUUUGUACCUUCAAGCUCUGCUUGGUGUUGGGUGUUUGUCUCGCCUCUGCGUGUAGACUCGCCUCAAAACAAUUGGCAGCCGGCGUAUUGAUUUCGGAGCGCAGUACAUCUCGCGCUUUGCACUCAUAACGACGACGUCCAAAAGUACAUUUUUACACUCUUGACCUCGGAUCAGGUAGGGAUACCCGCUGAACUUAAGCAUAUCAAUAGCCGGAGGAA